GGUGCACGUAGCCAAGUGAUUAAGGCAUUGAAUUGUGGAUCCUCCCCGCGCGCGUCU
rnacentral:tRNA from 1 species